CCCUGGUUAGCUCAGUUGGUAGAGCGCUCCACUUGUAAUGGAGAGGUCCCGGGUUCGAUUCCCGGACCAGGUGGA
rnacentral:tRNA from 1 species